UUCUAACAAAAAAAGCUGUUGUGAAAAUAUAGGCAAAACAUAUCCAGAAAAUCAGUCCACAUGCAGUGCAUGACCCAAACUUGUCAUAGGCAAGGAACUUAUAGGUGUUUUUUAGCACAUAAGGUUUUGUAAAUAAAAACAGCAGUGCACCCAUGUUGAUUCAAAGUUUUCCAAUGUGAUCCCUGGAAAAAUGUUAAACAAAUCAAAAGAGAUUUGAUUAAGUACAAUAAUUGAUUUGUGCUUGUAAGUAAAAAUGAGAACCACAUGUUGACCAUGCAAACUUCCAUUUUUAUAAAUUGUAAUCCAAACCAAAAUAUCCAACAGAUGGAUAAACAGGGGGAGAUGAAGAACAAUCCUUAACUUCACCAGACAAAUUCCUUGUGUAACAUUUAACAAUCUGGAAAUUCAUUUUAAUUGCCUAAAACUCGCUAUGACAUAAAAACAAUCCCCAUUAAUAAUCCCACGAUACAAGCAACAUCUAGCAUAUCAACCUACCAGGAAUAAUAGCAUGUGUAAA
rnacentral:misc_RNA from 1 species